UGCAGAGGCAAGGAUCGAGUCUGCUGCAGACCCAGGCGGAUUCACCACUGCUAACAAUCACGGUACUGCAUUCCAGCCUUGGCGACAGAGUGAGACUCCGUCUCUAAAAAACAAAUAAAAACCUUUACUUCUCAGAACUGUCAAAAGGAAUAGAGACUCGAGGGGGAAAUCUGGCAGAGGAAAUGUAGAAGCACUUAGACAAACAUGUGCAAUCUUCAAGAGAGUUCCCUUGACAUUUUGCUGACUUUUACAACUGUGAUCCUGCGAGGAGAAAAGGAGUUUUUGUUCACAGGUGGACUCACUGAAACACCAGCCUUCAGGGAAGCCCAUGGAGGUCUUUCCUUCGUGGUUCCCAUUUGCCUAGCAGGAGUUCCCUAAUGGGCCUACAUCACCUCAGGCCUAGGCCGGCUUGUGGCUUGCUUGCCAUCCAGUAGCAGGUCACGUGGGUUGUGGCAUCAUUAGUUACAAGCUGCAAUACAAAAUAAUAGUAACAAAGUAGAUGGGGAAAUUUCC
rnacentral:lncRNA from 1 species